GAGGCUGACCAAAACACGUGUGAGUGAAGAUCCUAUCCUGUAGACAAGUGUGACAGUAUUUUAAUACUGAGCCGAAAACAACAUAGGUGCUGCUGUACGACUGUUUUAAUCUGGAUUAGUGUUUCUCUCCCAGGACUCUAAUAAUCCGAUUAUUCAGAGUUCGCUUGGCGCUUCUUCAAGGGGGAGAAGAUGAUGGAGACGCGAAGCAAGGGCUCCUCGGUUAUAUGGCGGUGUCUCGGCGCAUACCGUUACUGUUCAUGCUGGUUCAGGCGAUCUGCACUUCUGAAGUGAGGCUACGAGAGGCUAUCCGUGCUAUUAAAUCGAUUGGAAGUUUUUUUCUACGUCAUGCAAAGCAAAUCGAACGCGUCCCUAUGCAAAACGUGAGCAAAGUUAUUUUAACAGGGUUUCUAUUCUAGUCAGUCCACUGCAGUGCAUCCCUGUGCAGUAUUCGGACAUAUAGAAUGCUGCGCUCUGCUCUGCAGUCAGACUGCGGCUUUGACAGAGUUUUGAGAGCGAAAUCGAAAGACAACUGAAUUUAAUGAGAGUGACUUGGGUCUUUUUCCAUACCUGUCAAUCAACGGGGAUAGCGGUAUCGACUAUAGCCUACAUUAUGGGUCCUUCAUUGUCGUUUUGAUGGUGUUCAGAAUUCCAUGGACCCAUAUCAGUGCCUGUGGCUGCAGUUUCAGUUUCUACUAAACCUGUCCACUAAGGAGUAUGUCUGAAAUGCUGCCAAACGUUUGCUGACUCAAGGAUUUCGAAGGCCAGCAUCCCGGAGUCACCUCUUCACUGUUGACGUUGAGACUGGACAGAGGAACUCUGCC